GCCCCUAUAGUUCAAUGGAUAAGAACGACCCCGUCCUAAGGGGUAAAUCUAGGUUCGAAUCCUAGUGGGGGCA
rnacentral:tRNA from 1 species